rnacentral:rRNA from 1 species
GCUCAGAUUGAACGCUGGCGGCAGGCCUAACACAUGCAAGUCGAACGGUAACAGGAAGAAGCUUGCUUCUUUGCUGACGAGUGGCGGACGGGUGAGUAAUGUCUGGGAAACUGCCUGAUGGAGGGGGAUAACUACUGGAAACGGUAGCUAAUACCGCAUAACGUCGCAAGACCAAAGAGGGGGACCUUCGGGCCUCUUGCCAUCGGAUGUGCCCAGAUGGGAUUAGCUAGUAGGUGGGGUAACGGCUCACCUAGGCGACGAUCCCUAGCUGGUCUGAGAGGAUGACCAGCCACACUGGAACUGAGACACGGUCCAGACUCCUACGGGAGGCAGCAGUGGGGAAUAUUGCACAAUGGGCGCAAGCCUGAUGCAGCCAUGCCGCGUGUAUGAAGAAGGCCUUCGGGUUGUAAAGUACUUUCAGCGGGGAGGAAGGGAGUAAAGUUAAUACCUUUGCUCAUUGACGUUACCCGCAGAAGAAGCACCGGCUAACUCCGUGCCAGCAGCCGCGGUAAUACGGAGGGUGCAAGCGUUAAUCGGAAUUACUGGGCGUAAAGCGCACGCAGGCGGUUUGUUAAGUCAGAUGUGAAAUCCCCGGGCUCAACCUGGGAACUGCAUCUGAUACUGGCAAGCUUGAGUCUCGUAGAGGGGGGUAGAAUUCCAGGUGUAGCGGUGAAAUGCGUAGAGAUCUGGAGGAAUACCGGUGGCGAAGGCGGCCCCCUGGACGAAGACUGACGCUCAGGUGCGAAAGCGUGGGGAGCAAACAGGAUUAGACACCCUGGUAGUCCACGCCGUAAACGAUGUCGACUUGGAGGUUGUGCCCUUGAGGCGUGGCUUCCGGAGCUAACGCGUUAAGUCGACCGCCUGGGGAGUACGGCCGCAAGGUUAAAACUCAAAUGAAUUGACGGGGGCCCGCACAAGCGGUGGAGCAUGUGGUUUAAUUCGAUGCAACGCGAAGAACCUUACCUGGUCUUGACAUCCACGGAAGUUUUCAGAGAUGAGAAUGUGCCUUCGGGAACCGUGAGACAGGUGCUGCAUGGCUGUCGUCAGCUCGUGUUGUGAAAUGUUGGGUUAAGUCCCGCAACGAGCGCAACCCUUAUCCUUUGUUGCCAGCGGUCCGGCCGGGAACUCAAAGGAGACUGCCAGUGAUAAACUGGAGGAAGGUGGGGAUGACGUCAAGUCAUCAUGGCCCUUACGACCAGGGCUACACACGUGCUACAAUGGCGCAUACAAAGAGAAGCGACCUCGCGAGAGCAAGCGGACCUCAUAAAGUGCGUCGUAGUCCGGAUUGGAGUCUGCAACUCGACUCCAUGAAGUCGGAAUCGCUAGUAAUCGUGGAUCAGAAUGCCACGGUGAAUACGUUCCCGGGCCUUGUACACACCGCCCGUCACACCAUGGGAGUGGGUUGCAAAAGAAGUAGGUAGCUUAACCUUCGGGAGGGCGCUUACCACUUUGUGAUUCAUGACUGGGGUGAAGUCGUAACAAGGUAACCGUAGGGGAAC